GUGACCCCAGGAUGGGCGAGGCCACCCGCCGAGUUUAAGCAUAUCAAUAAGCGAGGAGAGAACU
rnacentral:rRNA from 1 species